AUUGAACGCUGGCGGCAGGCUUAACACAUGCAAGUCGAGCGGAGAUGAGGUGCUUGCACCUUAUCUUAGCGGCGGACGGGUGAGUAAUGCUUAGGAAUCUGCCUAUUAGUGGGGGACAACAUUCCGAAAGGAAUGCUAAUACCGCAUACGUCCUACGGGAGAAAGCAGGGGAUCUUCGGACCUUGCGCUAAUAGAUGAGCCUAAGUCGGAUUAGCUAGUUGGUGGGGUAAAGGCCUACCAAGGCGACGAUCUGUAGCGGGUCUGAGAGGAUGAUACGCCACACUGGGACGGGGACACGGCCCAGACUCCUACGGGAGGCAGCAGUGGGGAAUAUUGGACAAUGGGGGGAACCCUGAUCCAGCCAUGCCGCGUGUGUGAAGAAGGCCUUAUGGUUGUAAAGCACUUUAAGCGAGGAGGAGGCUACUGAGACUAAUACUCUUGGAUAGUGGACGUUACUCGCAGAAUAAGCACCGGCUAACUCUGUGCCAGCCGCCGCGGUAAAAC
rnacentral:rRNA from 1 species